ACCACCUCCUCCACCAAGACCCCCUCCAGGGCCCCCUCCGGUGGCUAGACCCCCCCCACCUGGUCCUCCUUACCAGCCUCCAGCACCUGCGCCUAGACCACCGAGCCCACCGACACGCCCGCCCCCAUCUUACCAGCCACCAUCCUACCA